AUAUAUAUAUAUAUCAGCCACUCUUGUUGUGGUCUGGAUGUGGGGGGUUAUGCUGGCCUUCUUGAAAGGGUUUCAGCUCUCCUGAAAUGCAUUAGCGGAACGACCUUGUUCAUUCAUUGGUGUGAUAGCUAUCUACGCUGUUGAAUGUGAGGCAGUUCAGCUUUCUAACAGUCCUCGGACAACUCAUCAUCUU
rnacentral:misc_RNA from 1 species